GACGAACGCUGGCGGCGUGCUUAACACAUGCAAGUCGAACGGAAGGGCCCUGCUUUUGUGGGGUGCUCGAGUGGCGAACGGGUGAGUAACACGUGAGUAACCUGCCCUUGACUUUGGGAUAACUUCAGGAAACUGGGGCUAAUACCGGAUAGGAGCUCCUGCUGCAUGGUGGGGGUUGGAAAGUUUCGGCGGUUGGGGAUGGAAUCGCGGCUUAUCAGCUUGUUGGUGGGGUAGUGGCUUACCAAGGCUUUGACGGGUAGCCGGCCUGAGAGGGUGACCGGCCACAUUGGGAUUGAGAUACGGCCCAGACUCCUACGGGAGGCAGCAGUGGGGAAUAUUGCACAAUGGGCGGAAGCCUGAUGCAGCAACGCCGCGUGCGGGAUGACGGCCUGCGGGUUGUAAACCGCUUUCGCCUGUGACGAAGCGUGAGUGACGGUAAUGGGUAAAGAAGCACCGGCUAACUACGUG
rnacentral:rRNA from 1 species